CAGCAGCCACGGUGAUACGGAGGGUGCAAGCGUUAAUCGGAAUUACUGGGCGUAAAGCGUGCGUAGGCGGUUCGUUAAGUCUGUUGUGAAAGCCCCGGGCUCAACCUGGGAAUGGCAAUGGAUACUGGCGAGCUAGAGUGUGUCAGAGGAUGGUGGAAUUCCCGGUGUAGCGGUGAAAUGCGUAGAGAUCGGGAGGAACAUCUGUGGCGAAGGCGGCCAUCUGGGACAACACUGACGCUGAGGCACGAAAGCGUGGGGAGCAAACAGGAUUAGAUACCCGCGUAGUCCCUGUCUCUUAUAC
rnacentral:rRNA from 1 species